GACGAACGCUGGCGGCGUGCUUAACACAUGCAAGUCGAACGGAGUGGCGAACGGGUGAGUAACACGUGGGUGAUCUGCCUUGCACUUCGGGAUAAGCUUGGGAAACUGGGGCUAAUACCGGAUAGUGCAAGAUGAGCUCGCGGCCUAUCAGCUCGUUGGUGGGGUAUUGGCUGACCAAUGCGUCGACGGGUAGCCGGCCUGAGAGGGUGUACGGCACCAGUGGGAUGGCGAUACGGCCCAGACUGCUACGGGAGGCAGGAGUGGGGACGUUUGCACAAUGGGCGGAAGCCUGAUGCAGCGACGCCGCGUGGGGGAUGAAGGCCUUCGGUUUGUAAACUCCUUUCGACAGGGACGCGGUACCUGUAUAAGAAGCACCGGCUAACUACGUGCCAGCAGCCGCGGUAAUUC
rnacentral:rRNA from 1 species